rnacentral:rRNA from 1 species
CGCAAUGGGCGCAAGCCUGACGGAGCGACGCCGCGUGAUUGAUGAAGUCCCUCUGGGACGUAAAGAUUUUUUAUGAAGGAGAAAGUUUAUUGAUAGUACUUCAUGAAUAAGGGGUUGCUAAACUCGUGCCAGCAGCAGCGGUAAUACGAGUGCUCCCAGCGUUAUCCGGAAUUAUUGGGCGUAAAGGGUGUGUAGGUGGUCAUGUUAGUCUUUUGUUAAAUUUUUCGGCUUAACCGGGGGCAUGCAAAGGAAACGGCAUGACUAGAGGAUGCGAGAGGUGAAUGGAACUCAUGGAGUAGGGGUGAAAUCCGUUGAUAUCAUGGGGUACACCAAAAGCGAAGGCAAUUCACUGGCGCACUCCUGACACUGAAACCCGAAAGCGU